rnacentral:lncRNA from 10 species
CAAGAUUGCGCCACUGCACAGUGAGACUGUGUCUCAAAAACAAAAACCAAAACAAAACUACAGCGCUAAUAGAGUUCAAGUUAAUAUUAAUGGUACGUAGUGGAAAGUGCUGAUGUAUUGAAGCUAGUGAAAUGAUGUUGGAUUUGGGCUUAUAAUAGAUGUAUCUGUGCUUUUAGUUUCAUUUGUCAACUUGAUUCUUCUGACUUGAGCAUAAUGGACCACCAUUAAAAUCAUCAUUAUAACGCUGACUUCUGCAAAACGCGGUAGUGAAAAAGUUCUUAUUCCAUAUUGACAUCUACAUUGACUGCCAGUGAACUGUUGCAAACUUUUACACCAAGGAUGGGAUCUCCUUGAUCCAUUGCCUCACAGGACAAAUGUGGCACUGACUUGGAUUUGGGGACUUUAAAGUUCAGCCAGAAUUCAUUGUCCUGAUUUUCUCUUUUUGAAGUGCUGUAAAGCCUUGGUUUGGAGGUUACAUGAUCAUUUCGCUUACUCAAAUCCUUGGCACACUUACGGAUGUACAGGGAGCGGUCCUGCACUCCGAUCCAUCCUUGGGCAAAGGCUCAGCGGUCUCAUGGGAGAGUAGAGCUGCUCCUUCCAUGGGGAGGAGAGAGGAGCAGGUGAAGAGACCUGCAGGAAGCCACUUCCAGACCUGCAUGUGCUCUGCCGCCCUCUAAAUCACAUGGAGAGGCUGGGUGUCUAAAGUAAUGGGUGGGUAAUCCUAUUUUUAGAGAGCCAAAGCAAUUUUACAACUUUUCAUAAUGGUUUUGCUUGCUUUGGGAGCAAGCUGGUGGAUGGGCAGGUGAUAACGUUUGCAUGGAUUUUUGGGGGUCCUGGGAUGGGAGGCAGCUUUCUUUGGGGAUCAGGGACACUGGUCUGGGUACCUCUCAUUCCCACAGGCACCUCCUGUUGCAGGAACGGGGUCAGGGUGCAAGGUAGCUAAGCAGUCUCAAAAGCCUGAGGUCUGACCAGAUUUGUGAAGUGCCUGGAGAAAAGAUGGGGGAAGGGAUAUUAGCAUGACACCUCCAGAUGAGUGGGAUGGGGGCAAGGGUGGCCUUAUGCACCCACCUCUCCACCCCUGAGACACCAGGCUGAUCAGAAAGCACCACCCCUUGGGGAUUCCGGAGAUGCCCUUGACAUCCACGGGAGGAGGAAGACUUUGACCUUGACUUGACUUUGGCUCAGAGGAGGCCUGGCUUUUUCUUUCCACAGCAGCAGCAGCGCCUGGCAGUCUGCAUCAUUUCGCCACAGUGUGAAACCAUUGGCUGAUGUAUAAAGCAAAUCCUCUAGGGACUUCUCUCAACUGGCACAACAGUAGAUGGCCUUUACAGUAACGCACCUUCGAACAUCUCAUCUGGCUGACAGCUUGCACAUUCUUUUUUUUUUUUUUUUUUUUUUUGGGAGAUGGAGUGUUGCUCUGUGCUCUGUCACCCAGGCUGUAAUGCAAUGGCAUGAUAUUGGCUCACUGCAACCUCCGCCUCCCGGGUUCAAGUGAUUCUCCUGUCUCAGCCUCCCGAAUAGCUGGGACUACACACGUGUGCUGCCGUGCCCAGCUAAUUUUUGUAUUUUUAGUAGAGAUGGGGUUUCACCAUAUUAGCCAGGCUGGUCUCAAACUCCUGACCUCAUGAUCCACCCGUCUCAGCCUCCCAAAGUGCUGGGAUUACUGGGGUGAGCUACCACGCCCAGCCCAGCUUGCACAUACUUUAGCUCAUUGGUCACCCUCCUCUCCCCAGUGGAAGCCCCAGGAACCUCUCAAGGCCCAGCUUCAGCCUCACCUUCCCUGUGGUCUUCUUCAAGCAGACCCAUACCAAGCUCUCUGUGCUUUGGAAACUGCCAGUGAGGUGAAGUGGGGAGGCAUCGGAGCGACAGCCACGUUGUAUGCCUGCUGCACGAGCCAGACCGCAGGACAAUACUCAAUGAGAGGCACCAACAUCCAUCCUGGCUGAGCUGAUGAUGGUGAGAGGCCACAGAGCCAUGAAAAUGACUUGGAGCAGCCUCCAUGUAUUCCUCAGGGUUGAAUCAUUGUGUGCACCACAGAGCAUUUGCUUUGUAAAAAAGCUAACACUGUGAAAAAUGGGGUAGGCACUUCCUGUUUUGACCAGGAACAAAUGCAAACCAGACCCUGCUCCUCUCACCAGGCAGAGCUUGCUCUUUCAAUUCAGAGAUAUCUUCAAGGACCCAAUUAUGCUGUGGUGCGGAAUGGAGCAUGUAUGUAACUGAGGUUCCUGCCAAAGACAUCAUCUCCUGGCUGAAUGGCAAGACUGGCCAGGACACCAGGAAACUGAGACUGAUUGGACACACAAGAAUGUGAGCUGGGUAAGCAGAAUGAAGGCCCUGGGCAUAACUUGAACACCCGAGGAACUUGAACCCAAGGCUGGCACAAAAGCCAGAAGGUGUUACUCUCCACCAGCUCAGGGAUUGUGAAGAUCUCUGUGCAGACUCCACUCUGCGGUUGGACAGCAUCCCUGAGACAUGCAUUUUGGAAAUUGUGAUCAACCAGAAUCCAGAACACGCUGUGCUUAAUGGAGUGAACUGCCUGUGAAGCGCAGGUGUGAGGGGCGGAUGAUAAGUGACAGUGCCGGUGCCCCCAGCGCCCUUUUACCUGAUGGCUCACCCGGCCUACAGCUGCGCCCUUCCCUUUGAAUCGUCUUGGGUAACGGGUGCUGCUUUGGAAAUGCCUGGAAGGUCAUGUCCUUUGUCUGGGGAUGGCUUCCAGCUGUGGUUGACUGAUAGCAGGGGGCACAGAAGGCCAGACACAACUUGCCUCAGGUGGGCCGACUCUGAGGGUUUGUUCGGCCUCCACGUGGACUUCAGCUGAGCCUGCAUCUUUGCUUGGCUUUUCCCACUGGCCUAUUCUGCUUCCCUCUCCUUAAGGGUUCUCCCAGGAGAACUCCCUUAAUAAAUCACUUGCACAAGGAUCCCUGUCUUAGCCUUUGCUUCUAGAAAACCUGACCUAAGAUAAAUAGGUCGUGGGAACACGAGAGAAAGAGAU